rnacentral:rRNA from 1 species
GACGAACGCUGGCGGCGUGCUUAACACAUGCAAGUCGAACGGAAAGGCCUGCUUUCCCUUGUGGAUUGCGGGUACUCGAGUGGCGAACGGGUGAGUAACACGUGAGUGAUCUGCCCCCAACUUGGGUAUAAGCCUGGGAAACUGGGUCUAAUUCCCGAUAGGACUGCAGGGUGGUGCCUGUGGUGGAAAACGAUUUUCUAGUGGUUGGGGAUGAGCUCGCGGCCUAUCAGCUUGUUGGUGGGGUAAUGGCCUACCAAGGCGGCGACGGGUAGCCGGCCUGGGAGGGUGGACGGGCGAAUUGGGACGGAGAUACGGCCCAGACGCCUACGGGAAGCAGCAGUGGGGAAGAUGGCGCAAUGGGCGGAAGCCUGAUGCAGCGACGCCGCGUGGGGGAUGACGGCCUUGGGGUUGUAAACUCCUUUCGACCGCGAGGAAGCCACCUGGUUGGAAGGGUGGUGACGGUAGUGGUAGAAGAAGCACCGGCUAACUACGUG